GGAGGCAGCGACCUAAGGUAGGGUCAGCGAUUGGGGUGAAGUCGUAACAAGGUAGCCGUAGGAGAACCUGCGGCUGGAUCACCUCCUUUCUA
rnacentral:rRNA from 1 species